rnacentral:lncRNA from 1 species
UAGAUACCAAGCCCACAUGAGGGCAUUCCAUUGGGUCUUUAAUGGGAUGCCACUACACCAAUUAUUUUUUGUGGUAUUUCGACCAGCUGGCAAGGGAAAACAGGUAGUAGACAAACUGUUGAAUUCCAGAUCUUCUCUUAUGCUGGCUAUUGCCCAUUUCUCGACAAUAACGACCUGGAUGGCCUGUAUGUCAUCCAACAAUAGCUGUUCAC